rnacentral:rRNA from 1 species
UACAGAGGGGGCAAGCGUUGUUCGGAAUUACUGGGCGUAAAGGGCGCGUAGGCGCCUUCUAAGUCGAACGUGAAAUCCCCGGGCUCAACCCGGGAACUGCGUCCGAUACUGGAAGGCUUGAAUCCGGGAGAGGGAUGCGGAAUUCCAGGUGUAGCGGUGAAAUGCGUAGAUAUCUGGAGGAACACCGGUGGCGAAGGCGGGUCUCUGGGCAGUAACUGACGGCUGAGGAGCGAAAGCGUGGGGAGCGAACAGG